rnacentral:misc_RNA from 1 species
GCUCUUAGGUUAUAUAACAAAAAUAGAUGUCAACUAAACGUCUGUCCAUCACAUGUAAGUCAUGUGAUAGAGAUUAGACUUUUUUAAGCCAAAUUUUAAUGUUUUGACUUUAAGAGUAAUUGUCAGGGACUUAAGUGAAUUAACUAAAUUGAAAAAGAAUUAUUUGACUCUAACAGUAAUUGUCAAGGAACUUCAAUGGAUCAACUAAGUUGACAAUGACUUAUUUAACUCUAAGAGUAAUAGUCUG